AUGGCUGUUCCCGUCCUCCAUCAAGGCCUGCGGGAAGGUGAGGGUGAUGGAAAAACAGCAGCCGGCCAUGCCGGUCCACCCCGGAACUGGAAGGGCAUUGCAAUCGCCAUGAUGGUGAUCGUUGGUGUUCUAUCACUGGUCAUCCUUUCAGUCAUCAUGCUCACACCUGGUAAGAUGAAACACAGAAUGGGGGAGGGAAGAGAAGGAAUGGAGGGGAAGAGAAGGAAUGGAGGGGAAGAGAAGGAAUGGAGGGGAAGAGAAGGAAUGGAGGGGAAGAGAAGGAAUGGAGGGGAAGAGAAGGAAUGGGGGAGGGAAGAGAAGAGAAGGAAUGGAGGAGGGAAGAGAAGGAAUGGAGGAGGGAAGAGAAGGAAUGUGGAGGGAAGAGAAGGAAUGGUUCUGUUGGAGCUUAACCCUCCAGCGGGGGAGAAGGUAUUGAUACAGUACGCAGCCUGGGGACUGCAGGGGAACCAGCUGGCCUAUGUGUUUGAAGGAGAUAUCUACUACCAGACAGAAGUGACCAGUAAACCUCUCCGGCUCACAGCUACAGGCAGAGAGGGGCUGGUGGUCAACGGGCUGAGUGACUGGAUUUACGAGGAGGAAGUGCUCUUGACUUACCCUGCCAACUGGUGGUCGAAAGAUGGAGCUCGCUUGGCAUACCUCACCAUCAACAACUCUGCCACACCGCUAAUGGAGAUACCUCACUUCUUGGGUGGGGUCUAUCCCUCCAAUGUGUUCUUUCCUUACCCCAAGGCUGGCUCCACCAUCCCCACUGUCAGUCUGUUUGUGGUGAAUCUCUAUGGUCCAGCUCACACUCUAGAGAUGAUCCCUCCAGACUCUGUCAGGGGCAGAGACCGCUACAUCUCCAUGGUGACAUGGAUCAGCAGCACUCAGUUGGCGGUACGUUGGUUGAACCGGGCCCAGAACCAAUCAGAGCUCUGUGUGUGUGAGGCCACCACUGGGGCAUGCUCAAAGAAACACACAAUGGUCAUGGACUUAAUGCAAAACCAACGACAGGAGGUGCCAUUGUUUUCAUCUGAUGGCUCUUGGUUUUAUUUGACGUUGCCAGCCAAGCAAGGUGCCCGUGGGGAGUUCCGCCACAUUGCCAGUCUGCCAGCCCAGGUCAGUGUGAGGACACUCAAACUUUUAUACCCCUGUGUCAUCCUCCAAUGGUUUAAUGCCAGACUACUUGUUAAGUCUUCAAUAGGAGCCUCUGCAUGGAUCUUCCAACGCCAGUGUCUGACCUGCAACCUUCUAGAUGACUGUAGCUUUUUCAAAGCAGUGUUCAGCCCCAAUCAGACAUAUUUCACACUUUAUUGCCUAGGUAGGAGCUCUCUGCAUGACCGAUACAUAGUUCUGGAGGACAACACACCUCUCUCUGAGACCCUAGAAGGGAAGAGACUCCCAGAGACUGUCUUCAAGACCCUCGCAGCUGACAACCAUGGUAAGUGUGUGAAACCACCCUGGCUGACCCCGUUCCUCCUGUUGUCAUGCAGGGACGGAGUUCCAGGCAGUCAGUCGGUGACGGAGGAGUUUACUAUGGGAUGGCCUGAGGUGCUCGCGAGCACACAUGACAUGGCGUUAGCCUGGGUGGAUGGAAGGAGUGGGGUCGGCCGGGGGCAGAAGAUCAGCAGUGUGGAUCCCCGCAAGCUCAGCUCCCUCAGAGUCAAAGAUCAACUAGGAGUCGUAGAGUGGUUGAUGCAAUUGCCUUACAUUGACGAUCAGCGGAUUGCCCUGUAUGGCAAGGCAUUUGGUGGUUAUUUAUCCCUCAAGAUGCUAGCUGCCACUGAUCAGCUGUUUAAAUGUGCAGCCGCUGUGGCUCCCAUAACAGAUUUCAAACUCUACAGUGCUGCCUUCUCAGAGAGGUAUCUAGGUCUCCCAGCAAAGGAGGAGCACACUUAUCUGGUGAGGAUCCUCAUACCUUGUGUAAACAUGCAUGGUAGGAAGUAUAAGGCAAUAGGUUAUUGUAAGGCACGGGUCCACUUCCAGCACAGUGCAGAGCUCCUGAGUCGCUUGGUGAAGGUGGAGGCCAACUACUCCCUGCAGCUGUACCCAGACGAGGGCCACAUCCUGAAGGAGCGGCGCAGCAUCCAGCAUUCCCAACGGACCUUGGUGCACUACCUCCAGACCUGCCUGAGACACAACCCCCUCCUGGCCUCCAUAGAGGAGCCAGAUGAGGAGGAUGACUGA
rnacentral:lncRNA from 1 species